rnacentral:rRNA from 1 species
UACAGAGGGUGCGAGCGUUAAUCGGAAUUACUGGGCGUAAAGCGUGCGUAGACGGUUAUUUAAGCCGGGUGUGAAAGCCCCGGGCUCAACCUGGGAAUUGCAUUCGAGACUGAAUAGCUAGGGUACGGUAGAGGGAAGCGGAAUUUCCGGUGUAGCGGUGAAAUGCGUAGAUAUCGGAAGGAACAUCAGUGGCGAAAGCGGCUUCCUGGACCAGUACCGACGUUCAGGCACGAAAGCGUGGGGAGCAAACAGG